rnacentral:rRNA from 1 species
UGAUGCCCAGCUUGCUGGGCGGAUUAGUGGCGAACGGGUGAGUAACACGUGGGUGAUCUGCCCUGCACUUCGGGAUAAGCCUGGGAAACUGGGUCUAAUACCGGAUAUGACCACAGGAUGCAUGUUUUGUGGUGGAAAGGUUUACUGGUGCAGGAUGAGCCCGCGGCCUAUCAGCUUGUUGGUGGGGUAAUGGCCUACCAAGGCGACGACGGGUAGCCGGCCUGAGAGGGCGACCGGCCACACUGGGACUGAGACACGGCCCAGACUCCUACGGGAGGCAGCAGUGGGGAAUAUUGCACAAUGGGCGAAAGCCUGAUGCAGCGACGCCGCGUGAGGGAUGACGGCCUUCGGGUUGUAAACCUCUUUCAGCAGGGACGAAGCGCAAGUGACUGUACCUGCAGAAGAAGCACCGGCUAACUACGUGCCAGCAGCCGCGGUAAUACGUAGGGUGCGAGCGUUGUCCGGAAUUACUGGGCGUAAAGAGUUCGUAGGCGGUUUGUCGCGUCGUGUGUGAAAUCCCGCAGCUCAACUGCGGGCUUGCAGGCGAUACGGGCAGACUUGAGUACUGCAGGGGAGACUGGAAUUCCUGGUGUAGCGGUGAAAUGCGCAGAUAUCAGGAGGAACACCGGUGGCGAAGGCGGGUCUCUGGGCAGUAACUGACGCUGAGGAACGAAAGCGUGGGUAGCGAACAGGAUUAGAUACCCUGGUAGUCCACGCCGUAAACG